GCCAAAUCUGGUUUCCUAUAUUAAACGUAGAGCUUGUGCGCCCUCUAUUGGUGAGAUACAGUAAGCACAGGCAGAGAAGGGCACAGAUAGAUCUGUGUGAUGUAAUGCUGUGAUGUGAUGUAAUGCUGUGUGUGAUCAUUGUGAUGUCACUGCAGAAGAUUCACCGGGCGUUAAACAUGACGUGUGAUGAGGAGAGUAAAGCAGAAGAAGCCGUCGCAGACAGAAGCCCCUCCUUGUGUCUGUCAGAAAACUGUAACCUCCACCGUGUGCCAUCCGUCGUACCCUCCAUCUCCACCUCCACCUCCAGCGGCUACAGCGCCACCACCAGGUGGAACAACGAAAGCCUCAAGGCCGAGCCCAAAGACGCCAACCACAAGCGCGUCCACUUCAACCUGGAGACCCUCAACAGCUACCGGCUGGAGCACAGCCGGAGGGGAUUGGUGGGCAGCCCCCCCACCCAGCUGUGUGCCAAUGGAGGUCCAUCUCCUGGCCUCAGCCUGGUUCUGUCCCCACCGUCUGGAUCUUCUGGGCGACCCGCUUCUCCUUGGGAAUUAGAGCUCCAGGAACUCCAGGUGAGGAUUGAGGAGUUCCGUCACCAGCUUAGAGCUGCCCUGGCCAGGAGAGCAGAGCUCCAAAGGACUCUGGAGAAAGAGAGACAGAACCGGACCGAGGGUCAGAAAAGUGGGGUUCCUAAUACCAUCCCUACUGGACACUCUCUGAACCCAUCCACUGCCUCCAACAUGGCAACCAAGGACAUCAAUAAGAGAAGAUGAUACGAGUCUGAGUUGCAUGAGGUUGAAUCGUAGGGUACCAGCAAAGUGCAAGUGCAAGGUCCGUCUGUUGAUGGAGGUUCGUCCAGCGAUCACGAUUAUUAGCAUUAGCAUUAGCAUGGAUCAGGGAAUACACUGGGAGGCUAGCCUGACACAAUAAGUGUGUCAAAGUAGCCAAAGAUGCGCUACGACUGGUCAAUAGCCUUGGAUAACCUGGAAUUACCUUCCUGCGAAUUACUAGGCAAACCAAGACAUUGCAAGGAAUUGCAAGGUUAUGGCAAAUGUACCUAGGCAAGGGAUGCCUGUAAUUGAAGGAACCCCCUAUUAAUUUACCUUUGGAAGCUGGUGUCUAGAUGCUUUUGGGCAUAUAGGCCUGGUUUCUCUAAACCAGUUUUGGCUAAAUCCCAAAAUCAAGGCUUUUUAGUUCUAAAUCACAGCCCAUGUUACCUGAUUGAUGAUUGACCUCACAAUUUUGUCCUAAACUUGGCUUUUGCCAUGAACAAUAAAUAAUGAAGUUUAUUUAUAGAGAUUAAUCCA
rnacentral:lncRNA from 1 species